rnacentral:lncRNA from 1 species
CGCGGCGCAAGCGCACUGGCCUCACAACCCCGGACGGCACGCGGGUAGGUAGGCUAGAACCUAGAGGAGGGGAGCAGAGCGUGCUGGGGUCUUUUAUCGCUCUCCGCGCAGUGCGUGGGUCUGCGGAUCCGUGGAGGUGCGGAGCCUGACUCGGCCUCCCCGGCUCGCGCGUGAGUGCGGCGGAAGCCCUUCUGCUCCUCCACGAGUUAGAGGAGUGUAGGGGACGUGCAUCCCAGUGUCGGGACGCGAGCUCGUGCUCCUCUUUUCCUCCUAACGGUGGCCCCCACGCACACACUCCAGUCCCCCCGAGAGUUGAUCUUCUCCCCUCAGCGCGCCCCUCCUUACCCGGCCCCUCCCACCGGCCCCCCGUUUCCGCCCGCUUGCUAGCUGCCUAGCUCGCGGUCCGUAGUCGGCUUCGUCCCUGGGGUCCCUGCUUGGGGGCGGAGAAGAUGGCUGGAGGACGUCUGCUGUUGGGGGGCGACUUCCUGUCGC